GGCUUACCAAGGCGACGAUCAGUAGCCGACCUGAGAGGAUGAUCGGCCACAUUGGGACUGAGACACGGCCCAAACUCCUACGGGAGGCAGCAGUGGGGAAUAUUGUACAAUGGGGGGAACCCUGAUGCAGCGACGCCGCGUGAGUGAAGAAGUACUUCGGUAUGUAAAGCUCUAUCAGCAGGGAAGAAAAUGACGGUACCUGACUAAGAAGCCCCGGCUAACUAC
rnacentral:rRNA from 1 species